rnacentral:rRNA from 1 species
UACGUAGGGUGCGAGCGUUAAUCGGAAUUACUGGGCGUAAAGCGUGCGCAGGCGGUGAGCUGUGUCCGAUGUGAAAGCCCGUUGCUUAACGGCGGGUUGGCUUUCGGUACGGGCAUGCUGGAGUGCGGCAGGGGAGACUGGAAUUCCUGGUGUAGCGGUGGAAUGCGCAGAUAUCAGGAGGAACAUCGGUGGCGAAGGCGGGUCUCUGGGCCGUUACUGACGCUGAGGAGCGAAAGCGUGGGGAGCGAACAGG